rnacentral:rRNA from 1 species
CCUACGGGCGGCAGCAGUGGGGAAUAUUGGACAAUGGGGGCAACCCUGAUCCAGCCAUGCCGCGUGUGUGAAGAAGGCCCUCGGGUUGUAAAGCACUUUCAGUGAGGAAGAACGCCUGGUGGUUAAUACCCAUCAGGAAAGACAUCACUCACAGAAGAAGCACCGGCUAACUCCGUGCCAGCAGCCGCGGUAAUACGGAGGGUGCGAGCGUUAAUCGGAAUUACUGGGCGUAAAGCGCGCGUAGGUGGCUUGAUAAGCCGGUUGUGAAAGCCCCGGGCUCAACCUGGGAACGGCAUCCGGAACUGUCAAGCUAGAGUGCAGGAGAGGACGGUAGAAUUCCCGGUGUAGCGGUGAAAUGCGUAGAGAUCGGGAGGAAUACCAGUGGCGAAGGCGGCCUUCUGGACUGAUACUGACACUGAGGUGCGAAAGCGUGGGUAGCAAACAGGAUUAGAUACCCUUGUAGUC